GCAAGUCGAGCGAACAGAUGAGAAGCUUGCUUCUCUGAUGUUAGCGGCGGACGGGUGAGUAACACGUGGGUAACCUACCUAUAAGACUGGGAUAACUCCGGGAAACCGGGGCUAAUACCGGAUAAUAUAUUGAACCGCAUGGUUCAAUGUUGAAAGACGGUUUCGGCUGUCACUUAUAGAUGGACCCGCGCCGUAUUAGCUAGUUGGUAAGGUAACGGCUUACCAAGGCAACGAUACGUAGCCGACCUGAGAGGGUGAUCGGCCACACUGGAACUGAGACACGGUCCAGACUCCUACGGGAGGCAGCAGUAGGGAAUCUUCCGCAAUGGGCGAAAGCCUGACGGAGCAACGCCGCGUGAGUGAUGAAGGUCUUAGGAUCGUAAAACUCUGUUGUUAGGGAAGAACAAAUUUGUUAGUAACUGAACAAGUCUUGACGGUACCUAACCAGAAAGCCACGGCUAACUACGUGCCAGCAGCCGCGGUAAUACGUAGGUGGCAAGCGUUAUCCGGAAUUAUUGGGCGUAAAGCGCGCGUAGGCGGUUUCUUAAGUCUGAUGUGAAAGCCCACGGCUCAACCGUGGAGGGUCAUUGGAAACUGGGGAACUUGAGUGCAGAAGAGGAGAGUGGAAUUCCAUGUGUAGCGGUGAAAUGCGCAGAGAUAUGGAGGAACACCAGUGGCGAAGGCGGCUCUCUGGUCUGUAACUGACGCUGAUGUGCGAAAGCGUGGGGAUCAAACAGGAUUAGAUACCCUGGUAGUCCACGCCGUCACGAUGAGUGCUAAGUGUUAGGGGGUUUCCGCCCCUUAGUGCUGCAGCUAACGCAUUAAGCACUCCGCCUGGGGAGUACGACCGCAAGGUUGAAACUCAAAGGAUUUGACGGGACCCGCACAAGCGGUGGAAGCAUGUG
rnacentral:rRNA from 1 species